CCUACGGGUGGCAGCAGUGAGGAAUAUUGCACAAUGGGCGAAAGCCUGAUGCAGCAACGCCGCGUGAGCUAUGAAGGCCUUCGGGUCGUAAAGCUCUGUCCGCAAGGAAGAUAAGGAUGGGACUUGAGGAGGAAGCCCCGGCUAAUUACGGGCAAGCAGCCGCGGUAUUACGCAGGGGGCUAGCGUUAUCCGGAUGUACUGGGCGAAAGGGGGCCGUAGGUGGUUUCUUAGGUCGGAGGUGAAAGGGUACGGCUAAACCGUAGUAAGCCUUUGAAACUGGGGAAAUUGAGUGCAGGAGAGGAGAGUGGAAUUCCUAGUGUAGCGGUGAAAUGCGUAGAUAUUAGGAGGAACACCAGUUGCGAAGGCGGCUCUCUGGACUGUAACUGACACUGAGGCACGAAAGCGUGGGGAGCAAACAGGAUUAGAUACCCCAGUAGUC
rnacentral:rRNA from 1 species